UUAUUUAGCUCCAUCAGCAGAGCAUGAGACUCUUAAUCUCAAGGUUGUGGGUUCAAGCCCCACGCUGGGCAAAA